rfam:Cricetulus griseus cell line CHO-K1, whole genome shotgun sequence.
UGGUGCCUAACGUGGCCUUGGGUACAAGGGCAUCAGUGAAGAAUGUCACUGAGGAAAGCUGGCUACAUCAGUAAUGAAGACAGAAUAGAGGAAGGCAUUAGAUGGGAGCUUGCCGCUAUGAUGAGACCUGGGUAAGUCAGCGACGAUUAUGGGGCAAGAAAUAAGCCAACAUGAGUUACUUGUUGAAGGCCUCAAAAAGGCACUUAAGAUGCAGGGUUUGUUAAAAUUUUUUAAGGAAGUUUGUCCUU